GUCAGCGUAGCUCAAUUGGAAGAGCACUUGCUUGGCAAUUCGAUGGUCAUGGAAUCGAUCCCAUGCUUGGUCGGAAUGGCAAUGGGUAGAUGUGAGUUCGAAUCCCACCGCUGACC
rnacentral:tRNA from 1 species